ACCCUUGUGAAGAACCGAUGAUGCAGAUGGCUUGGGGAUCCUGUUUACAGGAUGAACCUAACUGGAGGUGCUGUAUCCACAUGACAUUGACAGGAAAGUCUGAGGU
rfam:Triticum aestivum genome assembly, contig: Triticum_aestivum_CS42_TGACv1_scaffold_582461_7BL